rnacentral:sRNA from 1 species
GGGCUCAAUAACAAUUCAAACUUUCAAUCCCCUGGUCCUCGUCAAAGAUUUCCCUAAAACUUUUAUCAAUGACAUUGAAGUGUUUUCAUUUCUUGAAAGAAUGUUCCCCUAUUUAAUGUUACUGCUGACAAUUCAAACACAGAGUUCAUUCAUAAAUCAUUUGUUUGAUACAUCCAGUGUACGUUAAACUAGAAAUGAAUAUAGACAUGUAUACAUACUGAAUACCGGUUGUUUUCUAUAGACCUAUACAAGUAUGUAAAAAUUGUAAUUUAAUAAUGUAAUAUUUAUAUCUCGCAUGUCAUCGCUCUAGUAAAACAAGAUAUUAUUGUAGAAAAACAUUGUAUAAAAUUGAAAGAUUUGAUGUGUCUAUUUUCAGAGUCAAAGGGAUAAGGGGAGGGAGGGAUAUGCAAUAUUUCAUGUAGAGGCAUUUUCAACAUGCGUUGCAUUUGAUUUACUGUUAUAUUAUAGGCAUGUACAAUGUAUAUGCACAUAUACAUAUGAGAAAUGCCAAAACGGUGUGACUUUGAACAACAAAUUUAAAUGUGCAAGUUAUUGUCUUAUUAUAAAUAUUGUGUUAUUUUCUAGCAGGAAGUUUCUUGUCUCUGAUGAAAUAUAUUUAUUGUGUUAUUGUGUUUUUUGUAGUACAUGUAUAUUAUUGUUGUUUUAAUGUUACACCAUUUCAUGUAAAUAUAAUGCUGUGUUGUACAUCAUUUCACUUCAGUGAGAAAUAAAAAAAAAUCAAUGAU